CAAUAGCGUAUAUUUAAGUUGUUGCAGUUAAAAAGCUCGUAGUUGGAUUUCGGGUAGGAUUUGCCGGUCCGUCUUUGAGAUGCGUACUGGUAAGUCCUAUCUUCUUGUCGGGGACCAGCUCCUGGGCUUCACUGUCCGGGACUGGGAGCCGACGAAGUUACUUUGAGUAAAUUAGAGUGUUCAAAGCAAGCCUACGCUCUGAAUAUAUUAGCAUGGAAUAACACGAUAGGACUCUGGCUUAUCUUGUUGGUCUGUGAGACCAUAGUAAUGAUUAAGAGGGACAGUCGGGGACAUUCGUAUUUCAUUGUCAGAGGUGAAAUUCUUGGAUUUAUGAAAGACGAACUUCUGCGAAAGCAUUUGUCAAGGAUGUUUUCAUUAA
rnacentral:rRNA from 1 species